CACGUAGGGUGCGAGCGUUGUCCGGAAUUAUUGGGCGUAAAGAGCUCGUAGGCGGUGUGUCGCGUCGGCCGUGAAAACCUGCAGCUUAACUGUGGGCGUGCGGGCGAUACGGGCAGACUAGAGUACUGCAGGGGAGACUGGAAUUCCUGGUGUAGCGGUGAAAUGCGCAGAUAUCAGGAGGAACACCGGUGGCGAAGGCGGGUCGCUGGCGGCGAACAGUGCUGAGGAGCGAAAGCGUGGGGAGCAAACAGG
rnacentral:rRNA from 1 species